UAGGGAAUCUUCCACAAUGGACGAAAGUCUGAUGGAGCAACGCCGCGUGAGUGAAGAAGGUUUUCGGAUCGUAAAACUCUGUUGUAAGGGAAGAACACGUACGAGAGUAACUGCUCGUACCUUGACGGUACCUUAUUAGAAAGCCACGGCUAACUACGUGCCAGCAGCCGCGGUAAUACGUAGGUGGCAAGCGUUGUCCGGAAUUAUUGGGCGUAAAGCGCGCGCAGGCGGUCCUUUAAGUCUGAUGUGAAAGCCCACGGCUCAACCGUGGAGGGUCAUUGGAAACUGGGGGACUUGAGUACAGAAGAGGAAAGCGGAAUUCCACGUGUAACGGUGAAAUGCGUAGAGAUGUGGAGGAACACCAGUGGCGAAGGCGGCUUUCUGGUCUGUAACUGACGCUGAGGCGCGAAAGCGUGGGGAGCAAACAGG
rnacentral:rRNA from 1 species